rnacentral:rRNA from 1 species
AUUGAACGCUGGCGGCAUGCCUUACACAUGCAAGUCGAACGGCAGCACGGGUGCUUGCACCUGGUGGCGAGUGGCAAACGGGUGAGUAAUACAUCGGAACAUGUCCUGUAGUGGGGGAUAGCCCGGCGAAAGCCGGAUUAAUACCGCAUACGAUCUACGGAUGAAAGCGGGGGACCUUCGGGCCUCGCGCUAUAGGGUUGGCCGAUGGCUGAUUAGCUAGUUGGUGGGGUAAAGGCCUACCAAGGCGACGAUCAGUAGCUGGUCUGAGAGGACGACCAGCCACACUGGGACUGAGACACGGCCCAGACUCCUACGGGAGGCAGCAGUGGGGAAUUUUGGACAAUGGGCGAAAGCCUUAUCCAGCAAUGCCGCGUGUGUGAAGAAGGCCUUCGGGUUGUAAAGCACUUUUGUCCGGAAAGAAAUCCUUGGCCCUAAUACGGUCGGGGGAUGACGGUACCGGAAGAAUAAGCACCGGCUAACUACGUG